rnacentral:rRNA from 1 species
UACGUAGGGGGCAAGCGUUGUCCGGAUUUAUUGGGCGUAAAGCGCGUGUAGGCGGCCAGAAAAGUCCGCUGUGAAAACUCGAGGCUCAACUUCGAGCUGUCGGUGGAAACUUUCUGGCUAGAGUCCGGAAGAGGAGAAUGGAAUUCCUGGUGUAGCGGUGAAAUGCGCAGAUAUCAGGAAGAACACCUGUGGCGAAGGCAGCACUCUGGGACAGUACUGACGCUGAGACGCGAAAGCGUGGGGAGCGAACAGG